UGGGCAAAAGCUCCUAGUAGUUCCUGUGGCUUUGAUUGACCAAAAAACUAGCUCACUUCUCUAUAUAUAAUAUAAACCUUUCCCAGCUCCCUUCUUUACCGUUCAUAUUCUUCCAUUUCAUUUGAUCCCUCUAUUCUUUGAAUUCUCAUUCCUUCCACAAUUCUCACUCCAACUUCUUAAUCUUCGACCCAAUCAUCUUUUCAUUCAUUAUCGGACUAACCUUCAGUUUCAUUGCUCCAACACACUCAAUCACCACCACCACCACCACCCUCACCCUUCUCUUUGCAAGGUCUAUAAAUCACACUAGGUUUUUGUUCCUUUCUUUAACUCUUUCAUCUCUUUAUACUGCUUUCCCAAACGAGGCAUUCUUCAAUUGCAGCGUGUCAAAGAUUCAAACCCCAUGGAACGCGAACAAUGCCGCGCGUGGAAACCCUAAUUGCGCCCCCGACCAACCAUGACCAACGGCGGAGGAAGAGCCGCGCCGGACGACUACGGCCGAGCCGCAGCACGUCUCGCGGUGGCGCAGCUCUGCAACGCCGCUGGGUUCCACGGCGCCACCUCCUCUGCGCUGGACGCCUUCGCCGACGUCGCAAUCCGCUACCUCCUCGACCUAGGCAGAACCGCGGAGUCCCAUGCGAACCACGCCGGCCGAUCACAGUGCACCGUCUUCGACGCGAUUCGCGGCUUCGAGGACCUGGGAGCGCCGCGAGCCUUCUCCAGCCCCGGUGGAGUCAGAGAUAUCGUGAGUUUCGUGGAAUCGGCGGACGAGGUUCCGUUCGCUCAGCCGAUUCCUCGGUUUCCGGUCGUUCAGGAACGACGUCGCAUUCCGAGUUUUGAUCAGAUGGGGGAGACUCCACCGUCGAAGCAUAUUCCCGCGUGGUUACCGGCUUUGCCAGAUCCCCAUACGUAUAUUCACACUCCAGUGUGGGAUGAGAGGGUUUCUGAUCCUCGUGAAGAUAAAAUUGAACAAGCUAGGCAGCGUAGGAAGGCAGAGAGGUCGUUGUUGAGUUUGCAGAAACGGUUGUUGUUGCGAAAUGGGUCAACGGAAGCUAAAGCAAGAACAUCAGCUUCGCCAGAUAGUACUGUUUUGGAAACUCAAGGCGUUGGUGAUGACCAUAAGGAUGUUGAUAAAGAUGUCGCUCCGGUUGUUAAGGUUUCAGUUUUGGAUGAGGGUAAUGUUGGUGACAGGAACCGUGUUUCGGUGUUGGAUGCGUUUGCUCCGGCAAUUGAGAUGCUUGGGAGUGGAGGGUUGGGUGGUGAUGAAGAUGAUGGAUUGGUGGAGAGAGACAGAAGUGAGCUUCCUGUUGUGAGACCUACUGUGCAUUUUAAGUUUAAGACUGGGAAAAAGUUCAUUGGGGAGUCUUUGGAUAUGAGAAUUCGGAAUAAGGAUGCGUCACGGACGGUGGCAUUGGUUGGGAGAGAAGAUGAGAGGGAUGAUAAGAAAAGGAGGGCUGAGUAUAUUCUCAAACAGUCUAUGGAGAACCCGCAGGAACUCACUCUGUUGUAGAUUGAUUAGUGUAUUUACGGACUUGGGCGUGUGGUUGAUUUGCGUUAAAGAGGGCUGAGAGAGGAUCGGAAAUUAAGGGCUUGCGAUGCUUUGUUAUUUUUUUAGGCACCACUCAGUUGAUAUAAUCAUGGUAAUAAAGAUUGCGAGUUAAGUAGUACACUCAGGUGAUUUUACAAUCCCAGAACCUUGGUUUGAGUCAUCUCACAAGCAAACUCAAUUUGGUAAACUCGUAGAAGGAUCACAUUGACUCGGACAAACACAUGAGUUCAGGUUCGAGUGCUGAAUUUAGGUCCGAGUGGGGUGAGUUCGGUUGCAUAUUCUUACAAUAAAAACACCUACCUUGUUGUUUUGGGUCCCAAAAAUGGAAGAAAGAUUAGGGAUCUUGAAUUGCAGCUUCCGUCUGUUAUUCCUCUAAUUGCAGUUACUAAGCAUAGCUAUUCUUCAAAAUUUAUCUUCCACAUGGCAACAUUGUUAUUUAUCGACUGGUUUCUCUUCACAA